UACAGGGGGUGCAAACGUUGCUCGGAAUCAUUGGGCGUAAAGCGCACGUAGGCGGUUCGUUAUGUCGGAUGUGAAAGCCCUUGGCUUAACCGAGGAAGUGCAUCCGAAACUGGCGAGCUAGAGUACUAAAGAGGAUCGCGGAAUUCCCGGUGUAGAGGUGAAAUGCGCAGAUAUCAGGAGGAACACCGGUGGCGAAGGCGGAUCUCUGGGCCUUACCUGACGCUGAGGCGCGAAAGCUAGGGGAGCGAACAGG
rnacentral:rRNA from 1 species